rnacentral:rRNA from 1 species
AGAGUUUGAUCAUGGCUCAGAUUGAACGCUGGCGGAAUGCUUUACACAUGCAAGUCGAACGAUGAACCUUAGCUUGCUAAGGGGAUUAGUGGCGAACGGGUGAGUAAUAUAUCGGAACGUGCCUUGUAAUGGGGGAUAACUAGUCGAAAGAUUAGCUAAUACCGCAUACGCCCUGAGGGGGAAAGUAGGGGAUCUUCGGACCUUACGUUAUAAGAGCGGCCGAUAUCUGAUUAGCUAGUUGGUGGGGUAAUGGCCUACCAAGGCUUCGAUCAGUAGCUGGUCUGAGAGGACGACCAGCCACACUGGAACUGAGACACGGUCCAGACUCCUACGGGAGGCAGCAGUGGGGAAUUUUGGACAAUGGGCGCAAGCCUGAUCCAGCCAUUCCGCGUGAGUGAAGAAGGCCUUCGGGUUGUAAAGCUCUUUCGCAAGGGAAGAAAACUUACACAAUAACACUGUGUGAGGCUGACGGUACCUUGAUAAGAAGCACCGGCUAACUACGUGCCAGCAGCCGCGGUAAUACGUAGGGUGCGAGCGUUAAUCGGAAUUACUGGGCGUAAAGCGUGCGCAGGCGGUUUGGCAAGUCAGAUGUGAAAUCCCCGAGCUCAACUUGGGAACUGCGUUUGAAACUGCCAGACUAGAAUAUGUCAGAGGGGGGUAGAAUUCCACGUGUAGCAGUGAAAUGCGUAGAGAUGUGGAGGAAUACCAAUGGCGAAGGCAGCCCCCUGGGAUAAUAUUGACGCUCAUGCACGAAAGCGUGGGGAGCAAACAGGAUUAGAUACCCCUGGUAGUCCACGCCCUA